rnacentral:rRNA from 1 species
AGUGAACGCUGGCGGCGUGCCUAAUACAUGCAAGUCGAACGGACAAGUAAGAGCUUGCUCUUAUGAGUUAGUGGCGCACGGGUGAGUAAUGUAUAGUUAAUCUGCCCUACACUGGAGGACAACAGUUAGAAAUGACUGCUAAUACUCCAUACUCCUUCUUAGCACAAGUUAAGUCGGGAAAGUUUUUUCGGUGUAGGAUGAGACUAUAUUGUAUCAGCUAGUUGGUAAGGUAAUGGCUUACCAAGGCUAUGACGCAUAACUGGUCUGAGAGGAUGAUCAGUCACACUGGAACUGAGACACGGUCCAGACUCCUACGGGAGGCAGCAGUAGGGAAUAUUGCUCAAUGGGGGAAACCCUGAAGCAGCAACGCCGCGUGGAGGAUGACACUUUUCGGAGCGUAAACUCCUUUUGUUAGGGAAGAAUAAUGACGGUACCUAACGAAUAAGCACCGGCUAACUCCGUGCCAGCAGCCGCGGUAAUACGGAGGGUGCAAGCGUUACUCGGAAUCACUGGGCGUAAAGGACGCGUAGGCGGAUUAUCAAGUCUUUUGUGAAAUCUAAUGGCUUAACCAUUAAACUGCUUGAGAAACUGAUAAUCUAGAGUGAGGGAGAGGCAGAUGGAACUGGUGGUGUAGGGGUAAAAUCCGUAGAGAUCACCAAGAAUACCCAUUGCGAAGGCGAUCUGCUAGAACUCAACUGACGCUAAUGCGUGAAAGCGUGGGGAGCAAACAGGAUUAGAUACCCUGGUAGUCCACGCCCUAAACGAUGYAUACUCGUUGUUGCUCUGCUAGUCAGGGCAGUAAUUCAGCUAACGCAUUAAGUAURCCGCCUGGGGAGUACGGUCGCAAGAUUAAAACUCAAAGGAAUAGACGGGGACCCGCACAAGCGGUGGAGCAUGUGGUUUAAUUCGAGGAUACGCGAAGAACCUUACCUGGGCUUGAUAUCCUAAGAACCUCUUAGAGAUAAGAGGGUGCUAGCUUGCUAGAACUUAGAGACAGGUGCUGCACGGCUGUCGUCAGCUCGUGUCGUGAGAUGUUCGGUUAAGUCCGGCAACGAGCGCAACCCACGUAUUUAGUUGCUAACAGUUUGGCUGAGCACUCUAAAUAUACUGCCUUCGUAAGGAGGAGGAAGGUGUGGACGACGUCAAGUCAUCAUGGCCCUUAUGCCCAGGGCGACACACGUGCUACAAUGGCAUAUACAAUGAGACGCAAUAUCGCGAGRUGGAGCAAAUCUAUAAAAUAUGUCCCAGUUCGGAUUGUUCUCUGCAACUCGAGAGCAUGAAGCCGGAAUCGCUAGUAAUCGUAGAUCAGCCAUGCUACGGUGAAUACGUUCCCGGGUCUU